rnacentral:rRNA from 1 species
CCUACGGGUGGCAGCAGUGGGGAAUAUUGGACAAUGGGGGCAACCCUGAUCCAGCCAUGCCGCGUGUGUGAAGAAGGCCCUCGGGUUGUAAAGCACUUUCAGUGAGGAAGAACGCCUGGUGGUUAAUACCCAUCAGGAAAGACAUCACUCACAGAAGAAGCACCGGCUAACUCCGUGCCAGCAGCCGCGGUAAUACGGAGGGUGCGAGCGUUAAUCGGAAUUACUGGGCGUAAAGCGCGCGUAGGUGGCUUGAUAAGCCGGUUGUGAAAGCCCCGGGCUCAACCUGGGAACGGCAUCCGGAACUGUCAAGCUAGAGUGCAGGAGAGGAAGGUAGAAUUCCCGGUGUAGCGGUGAAAUGCGUAGAGAUCGGGAGGAAUACCAGUGGCGAAGGCGGCCUUCUGGACUGACACUGACACCGAGGUGCGAAAGCGUGGGUAGCAAACAGGAUUAGAUACCCGUGUAGUC